rnacentral:lncRNA from 1 species
CGUUCAUAUGUAUAUACUAAGGGAAACAGUGCAUAUUUGUAAGUUUAGGAUCAAUUAAAGAGGACAAAUUUGUAUAUUCAAAAAUUUGGGGUCAAAUAACAAUAAAGCUAAUUAUGAAGGGCUUAAAAUGAAAAUAAAAGAAAUUGUUUGGGUAACGCUCGCUCGAUCCUGAUCUCAGGCUCGAGUUUCAGUUCGCCAUGGGAAGAGCUCAAUCAAAGCAAAGGAUCGUGGGAGAAGGUCUCGGUGGUGAUAAGGUUGCGGCGGUGACCUGAAAUCAUUGAGAAGAUUUGAAAUUGUUGAGAACAAAAAGGACUGCGGCGGAAUGGAGCUUGUUGCGGUGGAUUGGAGCUUGUCGGCGGAGCUCGGAUGGAGCAAUGGAUCUCUGUCUUUUUUUAUCAAGGAUAUCUGUCUCUUUAAGCUUGUAACCAUGGAUCUCUGUCUUUUCAAGCUUAGGAUUCACAAAAAGAGAUGAGUUCGCCGUCGUCUUCUGUCGGAGUAAACCUGUCGUCAUCUAAGGUCAUGAGCUCUGCCACGCCGACGGUUCUUAGCUCGGCCACAAGAACGGCAACUAGAGAUGGAAGCUUGUUGUCUCUCUCAUUUGCCUCCCUAUCUUUCUUUCAAUGUUAGUUAGGUCAUUGGAGAUUAUCAGAGAUUGAAAAAAAGAAUUUUUGUUAUUUGAUUUAGUGAUAAUUAAAGAACGUCGUGGAUGAAUUGAAAAAUGUAUAAUUAUAAAACUUAAAAGAAAAUGUUUUGAACAUUUUAAAAUUAAAAAUAUGUAAAAAAC